rnacentral:rRNA from 1 species
GACGAACGCUGGCGGCGUGCCUAAUACAUGCAAGUAGAACGCACAGUUUAUACCGUAGCUUGCUACACCAUAGACUGUGAGUUGCGAACGGGUUAGUAACGCGUAGGUAACCUGCCUGGUAGCGGGGGAUAACUAUUGGAAACGCUAGCUAAUACCGCAUAAUAUUUAUUAUUGCAUGAUAAUUGAUUGAAAGAUGCUAUUGCAUCACUACCAGAUGGACCUGCGUUGUAUUAGCUAGUAGGUGAGGUAACGGCUCACCUAGGCGACGAUACAUAGCCGACCUGAGAGGGUGAUCGGCCACACUGGGACUGAGACACGGCCCAGACUCCUACGGGAGGCAGCAGUAGGGAAUCUUCGGCAAUGGACGAAAGUCUGACCGAGCAACGCCGCGUGAGUGAAGAAGGGUUUCGGAUCGUAAAGCUCUGUUGUAAGAGAAGAACGGGUGUGAGAGUGGAAAGUUCACAAUGUGACGGUAUCUUACCAGAAAGGGACGGCUAACUACGUG